rnacentral:rRNA from 1 species
UACGGAGGGGGCUAGCGUUGUUCGGAAUCACUGGGCGUAAAGGGUGCGUAGGCGGGUUUUUAAGUCAGAGGUGAAAUCCUGGAGCUCAACUCCAGAACUGCCUUUGAUACUGAAAGUCUUGAGUAUGGGAGAGGUGAGUGGAACUGCGAGUGUAGAGGUGAAAUUCGUAGAUAUUCGCAAGAACACCAGUGGCGAAGGCGGCUCACUGGCCCAUAACUGACGCUGAGGCACGAAAGCGUGGGGAGCAAACAGG